CCUACGGGUGGCAGCAGUGAGGAAUAUUGGUCAAUGGGCGCGAGCCUGAACCAGCCAAGUCGCGUGAGGGAUGAAGGUUCUAUGGAUCGUAAACCUCUUUUAUAAGGGAAUAAAGUGUGGGACGUGUCCUCUUUUGUAUGUACCUUAUGAAUAAGGAUCGGCUAACUCCGUGCCAGCAGCCGCGGUAAUACGGAGGAUCCGAGCGUUAUCCGGAUUUAUUGGGUUUAAAGGGUGCGUAGGCGGCCUUGUAAGUCAGCGGUGAAAGUCUGUGGCUCAACCAUAGCAUUGCCGUUGAAACUGGGGGGCUUGAGUAUGUUAGAGGCAGGCGGAAUGAGUGGUGUAGCGGUGAAAUGCUUAGAUAUCACGCAGAACCCCGAUUGCGAAGGCAGCAUGCCAGGCCAUGACUGACGCUGAUGCACGAAAGCGUGGGGAUCAAACAGGAUUAGAUACCCUGGUAGUC
rnacentral:rRNA from 1 species